rnacentral:rRNA from 1 species
ACGAACGCUGGCGGCGUGCUUAACACAUGCAAGUCGAACGGAAAGGCCCUGCUUUUGUGGGGUGCUCGAGUGGCGAACGGGUGAGUAACACGUGAGUAACCUGCCCUUGACUUUGGGAUAACUUCAUGAAACUGGGGCUAAUACCGGAUAGGAGCUCCUGCUGCAUGGUGGGGGUUGGAAAGUUUCGGCGGUUGGGGAUGGACUCGCAGCUUAUCAGCUUGUUGGUGGGGUAGUGGCUUACCAAGGCUUUGACGGGUAGCCGGCCUGAGAGGGUGACCGGCCACAUUGGGACUGAGAUACGGCCCAGACUCCUACGGGAGGCAGCAGUGGGGAAUAUUGCACAAUGGGCGGAAGCCUGAUGCAGCAACGCCGCGUGCGGGAUGACGGCCUUCGGGUUGUAAACCGCUUUCGCCUGUGACGAAGCGUGAGUGACGGUAAUGGGUAAAGAAGCACCGGCUAACUACGUG